rnacentral:lncRNA from 1 species
CAUAAAUCAUUUUACACUAUUUUUAUUAAUUCAACAUUUUUUCUACUUGUUACAGCAAUUUACGAAAUUGACCUACCAAAAUUAAAGAUUUACAUCUUGUGAAAGAUUUUUGGAUUUCGAAAAAACAAUAAUUUCAUUAUGAAUUUGAAUCCAUACACUUAAAAUAUGGAACAACUCUCUUAGACUCCUCUUUAAAAAAAAAAAAAAAAAAAUUACGAACAUCUAGCGGGCAAUCCACGUUACUUUCUUCUGGAGGUCAAAAGCAUCACCUUCCUGCAUUUCAAGAAAAACUGAUCAGUUCAUCAAAGAAAAAUAUCUCCCAUUCAAAAGGAACAAAUCUCUCCAAGAGAACAUACAUAGAAAUCUCUCGCACUUUCUUAGUUUCUUAGUUUAAAUACAAAAGAGCUCUCAAAGAUCAUAGUACUAUGAGAGGUAGUGAAUCAUUUUUCACUUCUACUUAUCUUACUCGGAGGUUAUAAUUACAAAAAAGGCAGAAAAUAAUGCAUCGUCUUCUUUGUUUAGUCUUAAGCCAAUCUUAUGAAAAUUCAAAGAUAAUUAAUAGGAGUAUUGAGGAGGAGUUAAAAGCUCACUCACGGGGAAAAUUUUCUGGAUGGGCAUAGCAUAUCCCUUCAUCGCCUUCAAGAGUCGGAAUGAAAUCAUCAAUGAACACAUG